GUCUAUAUUCAUAGUGUCUGCCAACAUAUGUUUGAGGUUGGUGGGUAUGUGGGUUAAUUGCAAGACAGAUGAAAUUAAAGUUCAAAGUGCUAAUAUUUUAUUGAGAGUGAUUACUUCUGUUAUAUGGUUGUUAGUGAUAUGUUGAUAUCUUGGAUCCUUCGCUCGCUGGGCAAGUGUAUUCUUUAUAUGUUUAGCUCAUAAGGCCAUUGUUAUAAUUUUUUUAUUGUUUUAGCCCAAUAUUUCCGUAGUUCUUGGUUUGUAUUCCCAGGUGAAUAGUUUUUGGAUUAUAGUCUGUUCUACCACCAUCUGUGCUUAUUGAUCGUGUCAUGUGACUGAUGUUGUUAUUGGGAACUAUUGUAGGGUUAGUGUUAUUGGACUUUUGGUGACACCAACAUGCAUUCCUUUGUGUUGGUGUUUCCUCGGCAUUGCUCUGGUAUGGCUCUAAAUCCCAUUUUUUGAUGUAUAGUGAAUUAUAUUCUGCAGAGAAGCGACUUUACUUAUGAGGAGUACAAUCUCAUGAGAUUGGAUUAGUUUUUGGGCCAC
rnacentral:misc_RNA from 1 species